rnacentral:pre_miRNA from 1 species
CACUUGGAGGGGGGUCUCUCAGCCCGGAUUGCGAGAGGGCGCAGGCCAGGCCAGGGACCCCACCGGUGUAUG